rnacentral:lncRNA from 1 species
AUGUUUCAAGGGCUGACAGACAUACUGCUCCUGCCUUCCUCACAGUGGGAAAGGUCUGCAGCUGGUUGUUUGCGAGAUGCAAGAUCCGCAGGUGUGGAUGCCCAGUCAGGACAGGGAUGCACUGAUCUGUCAGGAGGUUGUUGGUCAGGUAAAGUAGCUGCAGCAUGCUCAGGCUCUCCUCCCCAGUGCAUGCAGAAGGCAAGAACUCCAGACUAUUUGCAGAUGCAUUCAAGUAUCUGAGACUGACACAACAGAGAUCAUUUCUUUUGUGUUUGUUAUCUUUUUAUGUAAGAACUACCAUAUUCUCUGAGUAUGAAAUGCUGCCAUUCCA